UAUUUGACGUAAAAUGACGCAUUGAAUUAACAAACCGGUUUGAUGUUGCUUUAAAUGUUCAUUGCUGUAACCUGUCGCUCGCUGCUCCGUUUGCUCCCAGGCCACUCAAAGGUGGGCUUUGCACUUUACCACAAGGACUACCACCCAUGGAGAGGCAGAUCCAUUUUUCUGGGGCACUUGUAUGUGAUGCCUGAGUUCAGAGGGCAGGGCGUCGGCAGAGCAAGGUAGCCCAGCUCGGCCUGGCCGCCGGCUGCCACCAGCUCAACUUCACUGUCCUGGAGAGGAACAAAUCCGCUCAGGACUUCUAUCUCCAGCUGGGCUGCGUCGACAUCACAGCGAGCACGGGCCAGCUCCGUAUGCGCUGCGAGGGGGAGGCGCUGCAGCACCUGGCGGAUACCCUGACCCAACGCUGUGGCUGACGCCGCCGCCGCCGCCCAUUACUACCGACGGGUCGACCCACGCAGUGCAGGGGCACCGCUCAGUGGGUUGAGGACUUCUUGAGGAAUGAGGACUGUAUUGUUGUGUUUAAAGCCAACUAUCACGUCUCGGUAUUUACAUAUGGCGAGGGACUUAAAUGUUUAAACAUGUUUCCAAGUGCUGCAAAAUAAAGGGU